rnacentral:snRNA from 1 species
UCCACUGAGAUUCAGCCCUU